GCAUUGGUGGUUAAGUGGUAGAAUUCUCACCUUCCACGUGGGAGACCUGGGUUUGAUUCCCAGCCAACGCA
rnacentral:tRNA from 1 species